rnacentral:rRNA from 1 species
UGGGGAAUCUUCCGCAAUGGGCGAAAGCCUGACGGAGCGACACCGCGUGCAGGAUGAAGGCCCUUGGGUCGUAAACUGCUGUCACGCUAUAGGAAAACUGACUAAAGCGAGAGGAAGCACCGGCUAACUCUGUGCCAGCAGCCGCGGUAAGACAGAGGGUGCAAACGUUGCUCGGAAUCACUGGGCAUAAAGCGCACGUAGGCGGUCGUUUAAGUCGGAUGUGAAAUCCCUGAGCUCAACUCAGGAACUGCAUCCGAUACUGAAUGACUCGAGGACGGUUGGGGUGAGUGGAACUCCAGGUGGAGCGGUGAAAUGCAUAGAUAUCUGGAGGAACACCGGUGGCGAAAGCGGCUCACUGGACCGUAUCUGACGCUGAGGUGCGAAAGCUAGGGUAGCAAAAGGGAUUAGAUACCCCUGUAGU